UGGGGAAUUUUGCACAAUGGGCGAAAGCCUGAUGCAGCAACGCCGCGUGCGGGAUGAAGGCCCUCGGGUUGUAAACCGCUUUCAGCAGGGACGAAUAUGACGGUACCUGCAGAAGAAGCCCCGGCUAACUACGUGCCAGCAGCCGCGGUAAUACGUAGGGGGCAAGCGUUAUCCGGAUUCAUUGGGCGUAAAGAGCGCGUAGGCGGACUGUUAAGUCAGAUGUGAAAACCGGGGGCUCAACCCGCGGCCUGCAUCUGAAACUGGCAGUCGUGAGGCGUGGAGAGGAGAGUGGAAGUCCUGGUGGAGCGGUGAAAUGCGCAGAGAGCAGGAGGAACACCAGUGGCGAAGGCGGCUGUCUGGGCCACGA
rnacentral:rRNA from 1 species